UCUAAAUCGGAAGCAUAGCUAAUCCUCUGAGUGUUAUUCCUAUAAACUGUCCUUUUUAAGACAAGCUUCAGUCAGUCAGAAGUUAAAGGCUAAGAAGCAGUGUAGGUGACUUCACUUUAGUAGGGCAUCAUCUCAGCUAUGCCUUUCACAGAGCUGAAUUAUUCAUAUGGUGGCAUAGGCCACCCUCCUAGGGUCUGAGAUCUCCCACAUACAACACUCAGC